rnacentral:rRNA from 1 species
GGGCGGGACACGUGGUAUCCUGUCUGAAUAUGGGGGGACCAUCCUCCAAGGCUAAAUACUCCUGACUGACCGAUAGUGAACCAGUACCGUGAGGGAAAGGCGAAAAGAACCCCGGCGAGGGGAGUGAAACAGAACCUGAAACCGUGUACGUACAAGCAGUGGGAGCCCCACCACUAAGCCAGUGGUGAACUCCACAUACGCAUCCUUUGCGGAAGAUGCGGUUAACGGAGCGAAAGCGACGUUCAACCUCAGAAGAAGCAGAGGGGGCUUAGUGGUGGGGUGACUGCGUACCUUUUGUAUAAUGGGUCAGCGACUUAUAUUCUGUAGCAAGGUUAACCGCAUAGGGGAGCCGAAGGGAAACCGAGUCUUAAUUGGGCGUUAAGUUGCAGGGUAUAGACCCGAAACCCGGUGAUCUAGCCAUGGGCAGGUUGAAGGUUGGGUAACACUAACUGGAGGACCGAACCGACUAAUGUUGAAAAAUUAGCGGAUGACCUGUGGCUGGGGGUGAAAGGCCAAUCAAACCGGGAGAUAGCUGGUUCUCCCCGAAAGCUAUUUAGGUAGCGCCUCGUGAACUCAUCUCCGGGGGUAGAGCACUGUUUCGGCUAGGGGGCCAUCCCGGCUUACCAACCCGAUGCAAACUGCGAAUACCGGAGAAUGUUAUCACGGGAGACACACGGCGGGUGCUAACGUCCGUCGUGAAGAGGGAAACAACCCAGACCGCCAGCUAAGGUCCCAAAGUCAUGGUUAAGUGGGAAACGAUGUGGGAAGGCCCAGACAGCCAGGAUGUUGGCUUAGAAGCAGCCAUCAUUUAAAGAAAGCGUAAUAGCUCACUGGUCGAGUCGGCCUGCGCGGAAGAUGUAACGGGGCUAAACCAUGCACCGAAGCUGCGGCAGCGACACUGUGUGUUGUUGGGUAGGGGAGCGUUCUGUAAGCCGUUGAAGGUGUCCUGUGAGGGGUGCUGGAGGUAUCAGAAGUGCGAAUGCUGACAUAAGUAACGAUAAAGCGGGUGAAAAGCCCGCUCGCCGGAAGACCAAGGGUUCCUGUCCAACGUUAAUCGGGGCAGGGUGAGUCGACCCCUAAGGCGAGGCCGAAAGGCGUAGUCGAUGGGAAACGGGUUAAUAUUCCCGUACUUGGUGUUACUGCGAAGGGGGGACGGAGAAGGCUAUGUUGGCCGGGCGACGGUUGUCCCGGUUUAAGCGUGUAGGCUGGUUUUCCAGGCAAAUCCGGAAAAUCAAGGCUGAGGCGUGAUGACGAGGCACCACGGUGCUGAAGCAACAAAUGCCCUGCUUCCAGGAAAAGCCUCUAAGCAUCAGGUAACAUCAAAUCGUACCCCAAACCGACACAGGUGGUCAGGUAGAGAAUACCAAGGCGCUUGAGAGAACUCGGGUGAAGGAACUAGGCAAAAUGGUGCCGUAACUUCGGGAGAAGGCACGCUGACACGUAGGUGAAGUGAUUUACUCAUGGAGCUGAAGUCAGUCGAAGAUACCAGCUGGCUGCAACUGUUUAUUAAAAACACAGCACUGUGCAAACACGAAAGUGGACGUAUACGGUGUGACGCCUGCCCGGUGCCGGAAGGUUAAUUGAUGGGGUCAGCGCAAGCGAAGCUCCUGAUCGAAGCCCCGGUAAACGGCGGCCGUAACUAUAACGGUCCUAAGGUAGCGAAAUUCCUUGUCGGGUAAGUUCCGACCUGCACGAAUGGCGUAAUGAUGGCCAGGCUGUCUCCACCCGAGACUCAGUGAAAUUGAACUCGCUGUGAAGAUGCAGUGUACCCGCGGCAAGACGGAAAGACCCCGUGAACCUUUACUAUAGCUUGACACUGAACAUUGAGCCUUGAUGUGUAGGAUAGGUGGGAGGCUUUGAAGCGUGGACGCCAGUCUGCGUGGAGCCGACCUUGAAAUACCACCCUUUAAUGUUUGAUGUUCUAACGUGGACCCGUAAUCCGGGUUGCGGACAGUGUCUGGUGGGUAGUUUGACUGGGGCGGUCUCCUCCUAAAGAGUAACGGAGGAGCACGAAGGUUGGCUAAUCCUGGUCGGACAUCAGGAGGUUAGUGCAAUGGCAUAAGCCAGCUUGACUGCGAGCGUGACGGCGCGAGCAGGUGCGAAAGCAGGUCAUAGUGAUCCGGUGGUUCUGAAUGGAAGGGCCAUCGCUCAACGGAUAAAAGGUACUCCGGGGAUAACAGGCUGAUACCGCCCAAGAGUUCAUAUCGACGGCGGUGUUUGGCACCUCGAUGUCGGCUCAUCACAUCCUGGGGCUGAAGUAGGUCCCAAGGGUAUGGCUGUUCGCCAUUUAAAGUGGUACGCGAGCUGGGUUUAGAACGUCGUGAGACAGUUCGGUCCCUAUCUGCCGUGGGCGCUGGAAGACUGAGGGGGGCUGCUCCUAGUACGAGAGGACCGGAGUGGACGCAUCACUGGUGUUCGGGUUGUCAUGCCAAUGGCACUGCCCGGUAGCUAAAUGCGGAAAAGAUAAGUGCUGAAAGCAUCUAAGCACGAAACUUGCCCCGAGAUGAGUCUUCCCUGAGACCUUGAGUCUCCUGAAGGAACGUUAAAGACGAUGACGUUGAUAGGCCGGGUGUGUAAGCGCAGCGAUGCGUUGAGCUAACCGGUACUAAUGAACCGUGAGGCUUAACC